rnacentral:rRNA from 1 species
UACAGAGGUGGCAAGCGUUGUUCGGAAUUACUGGGCGUAAAGGGCGCGUAGGCGCCUACUAAGUCAGACGUGAAAUCCCCGGCUUAACCUGGGAACUGCGUCUGAUACUGGAAGGCUUGAGGAUGGGAGAGGGAUGUAGAAUUCCAGGUGUAGCGGUGAAAUGCGUAGAUAUCUGGAGGAACACCGGUGGCGAAGGCGGGUCUCUGGGACGGUACUGACGCUGAGGCGCGAAAGCUAGGGAGCGAACGGG